rnacentral:tRNA from 1 species
GGCGGCAUAGCCAAGUGGCUAAGGCAACGGAUUGCAAAUCCGUCACCCCCGGUUCGAGUCCGGGUGCCGCCUCCA